rnacentral:rRNA from 1 species
AACGAACGCUGGCGGCAUGCCUAACACAUGCAAGUCGAACGACACCUUCGGGACUGCUUGCGCACGCGUGCGUAACGCGUGGGAACCUGCCCGUAGGUUCGGAAUAACUCCUCGAAAGGGGUGCUAAUACCGGAUAAUGUCCGCUGACCAAAGAUGUGUCGACUUUGGAUGGGCCCGAGUUGUUUUAACUUGUUGGUAGUGUAAAAGCCUAUCAAGGCGACGAUCCAUAGCUGGUUUGAGAGGAUGAGCAGCGACACUGGGACUGAGAAACGGCCGAGAAUCCUGGGGGAAGCAGCAGUGGGGAAUAUUGGCAAACGGGGGGAGGCCUGAUGCAGCAAGGCCGCGAGAGUGAUGAAGGCGUUAGGGUUGUAAAGCUGUUUUACCCGGGACGAUAAUGACGGUACCGGGAGAAUAAGCUCCGGCUAACUCCGUG